rnacentral:rRNA from 1 species
UACGUAGGGGGCAAGCGUUGUCCGGAAUCAUUGGGCGUAAAGGGUGCGUAGGUGGCGCCGUAAGUCAGGUGUGAAAUCUCGGGGCUCAACCCCGAAACUGCACUUGAUACUGCGGUGCUCGAGUACUGGAGAGGAGAUUGGAAUUUACGGUGUAGCAGUGAAAUGCGUAGAUAUCGUAAGGAAGACCAGUGGCGAAGGCGAAUCUCUGGACAGUUACUGACACUGAGGCACGAAGGCCAGGGGAGCAAACGGG